CUUUGCCGUACGCACGGUCCGACGACGGACGGUCCGAUCCGGUCCGAUCCAAUCGGCUAGUAGCCAAACAGAUUUAAUCGAAAGUGCGUCAUCCAAUAAGGAAGAAGAAAAAUCGGCGAAAUAAGCGAAUGAGAUUAUUCGUUCUUCUCUGUCUCCGCGAGCGCACCUCCUCCCUCUUCGUAAACCGAAUCAUCGAAGCGUCCUCGUUCGUGUAAGGUGUACAGUGAAUUUAAUUUGAUUUGUUUUUUAUCCUCUUCUCACUUUGUCUCACUUUGGAAUUCUAUCUGGAAGAUUAAUAUCAUAUUUCGAUCGAGUUAAUAAAGCAAUUUGGAUUAUAUUUUCUCGUUGAUGUUGCUGAGAUUAACGGAAAAAGAAAACUGUUCAAACGGUAAAGGAAGAAAACGUGGGGAUUUUGGUGAACGGAGUGGGGAGAGGGUACAACGGAACGAAUAGCGCGCGCUUUUCGUUCUCGUCCUGGUCCUCCUCAUCUUCGUCGUUGUCCUCGUCGUUUCGUGAAGUGGUUGGUACGUUCCACUGGAAAGAAAAAGAAAAAAGAAGAAGAAGAAGAAGAAGAAGAAAGAUACGACGAAAGAGGAUCUCGUUCAUGCAUUUCGUUUUAAACUCGAUGCUGAGGAAGCAAGUGUAAAAGAAGAGAAAGAUUACCAAAAAAAAAAAAACCAAGAAUUCAAGAAGAAGAAAAAGAAGAAGAAGAAGAAGAAGAGUCAAGGUGAUUUUUUCGGAAGUGAAACAACCACCGGCAAACCUUGGACUUGUUCGGUUAAAAUCAAACGCGCGUGUGUGUGUGUGUUCGUGUAUAUUUUUUUGUGCAAUCAUGUUCGUUCGUUGAUGUUUAUACGUGUGAGGUUAGUGCAUCUCGUGCAGAA
rnacentral:lncRNA from 1 species